AGCGAACAUUGGCGGUAGGCUUAACACAUGCAAGUCGAGCGAGGCGUAAUAGUCGAGCGGCGAACGGGUGAGUAAUACAUGGGAAUCUACCUCGAAGUGGGGGAUAACAGCCAGAAAUGGCUGCUAAUACCGCAUAAUCCGGGAACGGGAAAGCGCGCUGCGCUUUGAGAUGAGCCCAUGGCUGAUUAGCUAGUUGGUGGGGUAAAGGCCUACCAAGGCGACGAUCAGUAGCUGGUCUGAGAGGAUGAUCAGCCACACUGGAACUGAGACACGGUCCAGACUCCUACGGGAGGCAGCAGUGGGGAAUCUUGCGCAAUGGGGGCAACCCUGACGCAGCCAUACCGCGUGUGCGAUGAAGGUCUUCGGAUUGUAAAGCACUUUCAGUAGGGACGACGAUGACGGUACCCACAGAAGAAGUCACGGCUAACUUCGUGCCAGCCGCCGCUGUAA
rnacentral:rRNA from 1 species